UGGCCGACAAGUGCCCAAAAGUAUCGUCAGAUAACCUUUUUUGGAUAAAUUAUACGCAUAGACAUACUAUCAUAUGUCUAUGAUUAUAUGUAUGUCUAUAAUUAUAAAACACUAUAAUUAGUUUAAAAAUAAAUAGUUAAAAAAUAAAGACGUGUGCUGUGCAUGUGGAUAUUAUAAGAAGACUAACGAAAAAACAAAUAUAUCUUUUCACGUCUUUCCAAAGAAAGAUAAUAUUCGACAAGAAUGGAUUAUGGCAAUAGGCAAAGAAAAUUUUAAUCCUAAUGUAAAUAGAUUUUUAUGCAGCCAGCAUUUUAAAAGUGACUGCUUUUAUUAUUCUAUUGGUGGGACGAAACAACGUGUAUAUUUAAAACCAGGAUCUAUACCAAACAAUAUUUAAUAUUCCUCAUUAUUCCAGCAAAUCAAAAAUACCGGUACAACAAAGCUUAACUAAUUGCAUAGUUGAAAACCAUAAUACAAAAGUUAAGUUUGGCACUGAAUGUUUAGAAAGAAAUGCAAUAGAGUCAAAUAUUGAAACAUGUGCCAAUAACACUACAAUGGAUAGUAUGAUAGCAUGGCAGAUAGAANCUGAAGACACGUAUAAAGAACAUCCUGCACUUUCGAAGCAUAAAUUGAUUCGUCAAGGAAAUCCAAGAUAUGUCGGCGAUUGUACUCCUAACGAUUUUCAGUCACUACAAAAGGCUUUGCGAAACUGAAAAAUUGCCGUAACUUAUAUUGAUGCACAACGUAAAAAAAUAGCAACGUUACACAAACAGAACUAUCGUUUAAGAAAAAAAGUUACACACCUUGAAGCAUUAAUAACACAUUUAAAGAGUAAAAACUUGUUAUCAGAUGAUGCUGCAAGAGUUGUAUCUGUAAGUUUACUAUGACUGCUGUAACAUAACACUUUUCAUCGAAUUUAAUUACACUGAAAUUUUUAAAACUUGUCAAUCACAAUUAUUUUUCUGAAGAAUGAAAUGAGUGUGAUUGAUCAUCACUUUGAAUUAUCAAUGUUAUUAAACUCGAUUAAGAAUGUUGUGUAACAGUAGUCUGUAUAUAAUAUUGUAUUUAUGGAAAAAAUACAAUAUUAUAAACACAAUGAUGGCUAUAAAUAUUGUAUUCAUAAAAAAAUACAAUAUUUAUUGUCACCAUUGUAUGUGGUAAACACAGAGAUAUCAUUAUCAUUCUAAUCAACGUAACAAAAAAAGGAAAUUUGAUUUUAUUCUUGAAUAUAGGUUUCACUAUCCGAGGCGAGUAAAGCGAUUCUUAAUAGACAUCUUAAUAAGAAGAAUAGAAAAGAAUUUCCCCAGAUUCUUAGGACAUUUGCCACUACUCUACAAUUCUAUUCCAAUAGAGCAUAUACUUACGUGAGAAAAAUUUUUAUGAAUUCUUUACC